CAAGAGGUGGAGGGAGAAGGAGGUGGGCGGAAAUAGGCUGCCCCGCAGAGAACCCGAAGGAAGCCCUCUGCUUGCCAUUUGAAGGUGGUAACUGGCCAAUGCUACUGACGCUGAAGACCUUCAGAGAGAAGGCCACCUCCCAGGCAUUCUACCUGGUAUAGACGGCUCGAUUCUGCCCUCCCAUUGCUUCCCGUCUCCCUGACGCCGCCGCAGGAAGCCAGAGCUGAGGUGGAGAAAGUCCCUCCCCUCUUCCUCACCAUGUCCCACCUGGCCAUGGGGGCACCAAAGCAGCCCAGCCUCGACCCACGGUCCCACACAAUCAACCUUAGUGAAAACAGCUCCUUCAUCUUUUGGGCUGAGCCCGUCUCCACUGGCUCAGCGUCAGUCCAUCAGGCUGAGCAGGGCGACAGGUGCCCCUUACUCCAUCCCCUACUGUCCUCAUUUCAUGCUUCUGUCCUAGUCUGGAAAACACCAGAAGCUCCCAAGCAUAUCAUCCUAUGGGGGGAAGGGAGGAAGUCGCCUGAAGUGCCCCACUUGCUGGAAGCUUCCAGUAUCCUGCUCCAGGCUCGUUACUGCCAGUUCUCCAUUGGAUUUCUGUUGGAGUGUUUACGUCAAUCAAAAUUAACCAACGUUUAUCGAGUA